rnacentral:rRNA from 1 species
GAGUACUGUAGAGGGGGGUAGAAUUUCAGGUGUAGCGGUGAAAUGCGUAGAGAUCUGAAGGAAUACCGGUGGCGAAGGCGGCCCCCUGGACAGAUACUGACACUCAGAUGCGAAAGCGUGGGGAGCAAACAGGAUUAGAUACCCUGGUAGUCCACGCCGUAAACGAUGUCUACUUGGAGGUUGAGCCCCUGAGCCGUGGCUUUCGGAGCUAACGCGUUAAGUAGACCGCCUGGGGAGUACGGUCGCAAGAUUAAAACUCAAAUGAAUUGACGGGGGCCCGCAC